rnacentral:rRNA from 1 species
AGAGUUUGAUCAUGGCUCAGAACAAACGCUGGCGGCGUGUCUUAAGCAUGCAAGUCGAGCGGCAAGGCGGGGCGACCCGCCCUAGAGCGGCGGACUGGUGAGUAACGCGUGGGUAAUCUACCUUGGGCAUGGGGAUAGCCAUUAGAAAUAGUGGGUAAUACCGAAUACGUUCGCAGGGGGAAGUGACCUGUGAGGAAAGGGUGCUACGGCACCGGCCUGAGAUGAGCUCGCGUCCCAUUAGCUAGUUGGUGAGGUAAGGGCCCACCAAGGCGAUGAUGGGUAGCCGGCCUGAGAGGGUGUACGGCCACACUGGGACUGAGAUACGGCCCAGACUCCUACGGGAGGCAGCAGCUAAGAAUAUUCCGCAAUGGACGAAAGUCUGACGGAGCGACGCCGCGUGGAUGAAGAAGGCCAAAAGGUUGUAAAGUUCUUUUGCGAGGGAAGAAUAACCGCAGGAGGGAAUGCCUGUGGGAUGACAUGAACUUGCGAAUAAGCCCCGGCCAACUACGUGCCAGCAGCCGCGGUAACACGUAGGGGGCGAGCGUUGUUCGGAAUUACUGGGCGUAAAGGGCAUGUAGGCGGUCUGGUAAGCCUGGCGUGAAAGACCACAGCUUAACUGUGGGGUUGCGCUGGGAACUGCUGGGCUUGAGUGACGGAGAGGGAGCUGGAAUUCCUGGUGUAGGGGUGAAAUCUGUAGAUAUCAGGAAGAACACCGAUGGCGAAGGCAAGCUCCUGGCCGAUGACUGACGCUGAGGUGCGAAAGUGUGGGGAUCAAACAGGAUUAGAUACCCUGCUAGUCCACACGGUAAACGAUGUGCACUAGGUGCUGGGGCGGUAGCCUCGGUGCCGGGAGCGAACGUGGUAAGUGCACCGCCUGGGGAGUAUGCUCGCAAGGGUGAAACUCAAAUGAAUUGACGG